ensembl:snRNA U6 U6 spliceosomal RNA
GUGCUUACUUCAAUAACACAUAUACUAAAAUUGGAAUGAUAUAAAGAGAUUAGCAUGGCCCCUGCACAAGGAUGACACAUAAGUUUGUGAAGCAGUUGUUCCAUAU